rnacentral:rRNA from 1 species
UGGUGGAGUGAUUUGUCUGGUUAAUUCCGUUAACGAACGAGACCUUGACCGCUAAAUAGUUACGCGAACCGUCUGAUAUGGGGUGAAGUGCUCUGGGCGUCUUGGCCGCAAGGCUGGGGCCUCGGGGUGUGGAUCUCCUGAUGUGUUCGUGGAGAUACUUCUUAGAGGGACUUUUGGCGUUUAGCCAAAGGAAGUUCGAGGCUAUAACA